AUGGCCUUCCCUUUGUUCAGGACCACGAAGGUCUGGAGGAGGAGAAGAAGAAGAAGAAGAAGAAGAAGAAGAAGAAGAAGAAGAAGAAGAAGAAGAAGAAGAAAUAGUACUGGUCGAUGUCCUCCAGGGGAACGCCCACCAGGUGAGACGGGAUGUCGGCGAAGAUGCGCGGCAGCUGUUUCCCUGCCUCCAGGUCGGCCCGGCGCCGGGGGAGCACCACGUCACCCAGUGUUUGCUGCGGCGGGCCCUCUCCUGGGCGAUGCGCUGCUCGAUGGCCGCCAGGGAGUCCGGCGUGAAGCGCUGAAAGCUCUCUG